GCAGUGUUCUGGAAUUCAGUGUGAGGGACAAACUUUCAGAUGCUCGUAGCAGUGUUCUGGAAUUCUGUGUGAGGGA
rnacentral:miRNA from 1 species